rfam:Dictyocaulus viviparus strain HannoverDv2000 D_viviparus-1.0_Cont330.4, whole genome shotgun sequence.
GCCUCGGUAGUGUAAUGGAUCAGCACGGCAGACCGGAUACCUAUAAGUGCGGGUUUGAGCCCCGCCUGAGGUU